GGCGGCUGCAGCGAGAACGCUGUAGCUGUAGUCCAACGAGUUGAUGUCCAUCAUACACACGUCUAACAGCUGAAACACAAGAGGUCAAAGGUUUCCUGAGGAAACUGUGGAACCAGGAAGUUCUCUCCGUCCGUCUGAGCCUCCACCUGAACGUAAAGCUUCAACCAGGAGAUCGGCGUCUCUGGACACAGAUUCCAGUCCAACGCCUGCAGGACGACAAACACACAAACACAUUAAUAUCAUCAGUUAAUGGAAAACACACACAGAGCUGCUGCUUAGAUGAUGAUCAGAUGUUAAUUUAACUUGUUGUUAUUCUAUUAUUCAUGUUUUUCCUUCCAAAUGUUCAAAAUUCAAGUUUAAUUUUCAUCAUUUCUGCAGUGCAAAAUAUAACUUUAGAGCAGAAAUGAUUAAUUAUUAGUUGCAGAAUCAUUUUCUUGAUUUAUUGUUUUGUCAAAAUGUCAUAAGAUUGUGAAAACCUGUUAUAAACUUCUCAUGUGACAUAUGUGUCAUAUUUAAUCCAAACAGUCCAGUAUUCAGUUUAUGAUCAUAUAUGACAAAGAAAAACAUUAAAAAGAAGCUGAAACCAG